rnacentral:rRNA from 1 species
GAAUUCACUAGUGAUUUCUGGUUGAUCCUGCCAGACCCGACUGCUAUCAGAGUGGGACUAAGCCAUGCGAGUCAACGUAGCAAUGCGUGGCGAACGGCUCAGUAACACGUAGUCAACAUGCCCAGGGGACGUGGAUAACCUCGGGAAACUGAGAUUAAACCGCGAUAGGUCAAGAUUUCUGGAAUAGAUCGUGUCUUAAAUCUACAUGGCCCCUGGAUUGGACUGCGGCCGAUCAGGCUGUUGGUGAGGUAAUGGCCCACCAAACCUAUAACCGGUACGGGCUCUGAGAGGAGAAGCCCGGAGAUGGGCACUGAGACAAGGGCCCAGGCCCUAUGGGGCGCAGCAGGCGCGAAACCUCUGCAAUGGGCGAAAGCCUGACAGGGUUACUCUGAGUGAUUUCCGCUAAGGAGAUCUUUUGGCAGCUCUAAAAAUGGUGCAGAAUAAGGGGUGGGCAAGUCUGGUGUCAGCCGCCGCGGUAAUACCAGCACCCCGAGUGGUCGGGACGAUUAUUGGGCCUAAAGCAUCCGUAGCCGGUUGUGCAAGUCCUCCGUUAAAUCCAGCCGCUCAACGGAUGGGCUGCGGAGGAUACUACAGAACUAGGAGGCGGGAGAGGCAAGCGGUACUUAGUGGGUAGGGGUAAAAUCCUUUGAUCCAUUGAAGACCACCAGUGGCGAAGGCGGCUUGCCAGAACGCGCUCGACGGUGAGGGAUGAAAGCUGGGGGAGCAAACCGGAUUAGAUACCCGGGUAGUCCCAGCUGUAAACGAUGCAGACUCGGUGAUGGGCUAGCCUCGUGUCAGCCCAGUGCCGCAGGGAAGCCGUUAAGUCUGCCGCCUGGGGAGUACGGUCGUAAGACUGAAACUUAAAGGAAUUGGCGGGGGAGCACCACAAGGGGUGAAGCCUGCGGUUCAAUUGGACUCAACGCCGGGAAUCGAAUUCCCGCGGCC